CGAUUGUUAGAAAAGUCCUUCAAAUAAUGAGUAAAAAUUCAAUCAUAGCUCGUGAAUCUGUUAACCAACCCCUAAACCUUUGUAGUGUAAAUAUCUCACUACACGUCAUGUGAGCCACAUUCACCUGAACAGUCCACAUCAACAUCAUGAGGAAUAGUUUGUAAUAGUUUCAAUGAGCUGUAAAGAGAACUCUUUAGAAUCAGAAAAGUUAAAGACAAACCCUGAAAUGAAGUGUUUGUGUUUGCUCUGUCAGAGCUCCUUCAUUAACAAUCAGUGAGCUGAAAAAAAACAAAUUUCUGAUUUAUUUACACCUUACCCAACUUCCUGUUUUUACUUCCUUUACUUCCCCUCCACUGACAUGUUCUUGGUUUAAUCUGCUGACAAUAUGGAAAAUCUAGAAUAACAUCAGUACGAGUUCAUCCAGGAACAAGAACUGUGUGGAUCACACAGAACAGGACUAAACUAAAGAUCUCACCUCAGAUUAUGUUGUUCUCUGUCCAUAUCGUGGCUGUGCGCUUCUGAGCGCUGCACGUGCAUCUCGUCUCUAUGGCAACAUUCAGCGCUUCUCCGUUUCUUUUUACUCUACGCUUUGUUUCAGAUUGUUUUAUUUCCUCCAUUAUGAUCUUCUUUAUGAUUGGCUGGUUGAUGAGUCUUCUGUUGGGGCGACCGCCUGCUGCUGCUCUCUUAUUGGGAACAAGUGAACAAAGACCCUGGCGCUCAGAAAUAAACGGCAGGUGGACACAGACCUGCCCUGCAUCUACUGUCUCCUCGGUCCUCGCUCCUCAGCCGAACAGGAAGUAGUUUUAGACCCGCAAUGUUAAGGAACGUCCCAAAGCUCUUGUAACUGAACGGAGGAGAGAGGAUCGAGGAGAGAGGAGGGAGAUCCGAGGAGCGAUGAUCGAGGAUACACGAGAGCUGACUUUGCGGAAGUCUUUUUACUGACAGGCUCGCCCCCUUAUCAAAUAUCACUCAUUGAUUGGACGCUGCAGCGGAUCAGACUUCAAUGAAACUUGUCAACAUCAGCCGAGUUUAAUAACGGAGAAAAGACGGACAUUAAAAAGAAGCUAAACGGACCGUCGGACAUUUAAACAGACUGUAACAUCUGUCAGUUUGUAAAAAGUUAAAAAAGUGUCUGACAUGAAGAGAUAUGAAGCAUAAGUUCUAUAAAAUCAAUAUAAUGCAGUGUAGACCGAUCUCUCCCGACUUUAUAUUUGAUUUGUUUUUGAUUCACUGUCAAACAAAAAGUCUGUUAAUAUGAAGUGUUAAAAUCAAAUGAUCAUAAACGAUUCCUUCAUAACUAUAACAGGUAGGUUAUAUUUCUUUUCAUGAUCAGUCAGACUGUCUGUUUUAAUUUAUUAUAUUGAGAAUGAACGGCUGACAGCACUAAACAUUGCUACUGUGUGUAUUUUAUUAGAAUUAAUACAGUUCAUAUUUGUGCGGA